GGCCCAUCUAUCAUCACCUUGCUUCAUACGUGUUCUUCCUGGAGAUCAAUCCCGAUCCAAAUCCUCGGUGGAUUCGGCUCGAAUCUUGCACCUCUCGCACUCCCACCUCCAUAUAUACUCCCCACGUCAGGUUUGUCCAAUUUUUCGCCAAAACGGAGUUCUCCCGUGCCCUGGGGCGUCGUCCCGAUCUUGCCGGAGACCGCCACCGCCUGAAGCUUCUGCUGGGAUUCACCGAACCGAGCGCUGCAACUUCGACCAGGAGCAGAUCGCCGCCGCCGAGCUCUUUCUGGGCGGUGCCAUCGCUAGAAGACCCAACUGAAGAAACCACGUCACCCACGUCAUAUUCGGGACCUCCGAGCUCCUCCGCAUCUCCAAGUACCUUCCCUGAGUCCAGCAAGCCCCUUAGCCGUCGCUGUCGCCGAAUCCCGAGCCGCCCCGCACUGUUCUUCUUCAAGUCCGGCGACGCACCCUGCCAUGUUUUCCGGAUUUUCAGAUGAUCAGUGAGAUACAGUAGGGUCGCGAGUCUUCACUCAACAUGUUCUCUAGUGGGCAUUGAUGGCCUCAUCGUUUAUUAUGCCACCUUUCCGCUGUUAUUAUUGAAUAAGUUAGCCAUGUGCUAUUCAGUUUGUAAUACUUUAUAAAUUCUGGAUCAUACGUUGUAGUAAAUGAUGCACUUGUUAUUUGAUAUUUAUAUGUAUUGUGUGUGCUA